rnacentral:rRNA from 1 species
AUUGAACGCUGGCGGCAGGCCUAACACAUGCAAGUCGAACGAAUUGCGGACGGUUGAGUAAUGUCUGGGAAACUGCCGGAUGGAGGGGGCUAACUACUGGAAACGGUAGCUAAUACCGCAUACCAUCAACUUUGCCCCGAUGGGGUUAGCUUGUUGGUGGGGUAACGGCUCACCAAGGCGACGAUCCCUAGCUGGUCUGAGAUGAUGACCCGCCUGACUGGAACUGAGACACGGUCCAGACUGCUACGGGCGGCAGCAGUGGGGAAUAUUGCACAAUGGGCGCAAGCCUGAUGCAGCCAUGCCGCGUGUAUGAAGAAGGCCUUCGGGUUGUAAAGUACGUGCAGCGGAUAGGCGGUACCCGCAGAAGAAGCACCGGCUAACUCCGUGCCAGCAGCCGCGGUAUAC